rnacentral:misc_RNA from 1 species
ACAAACUUGGUCAUUUAGAGGAAGUAAAAGUCGUAACAAGGUCUCCGUUGGUGAACCAGCGGAGGGAUCAUUACAGAGUUAUAAGACUCCCAAACCCAAUGUGUACUUACCAGUUUGUUGCCUCGGUCGACCUUACCCCUGGGGGGGUAAUUUUAAGGUAGGCCGAAGGCUUUAUUUAAAUUCUUGAAUAUUAAUCUUCUGAGGAUUUAUUUUUAAAAUAAGUUAAAACUUUCAACAACGGAUCUCUUGGUUCUGGCAUCGAUGAAGAACGCAGC